rnacentral:tRNA from 1 species
GGAGAGGUGCAGGAGCGGCUUAACUGGCAGCACUGGAAAUGCUGUGUACGGGAAACUGUACCGUGGGUUCGAAUCCCACCCUCUCCGCCA